GACGAACGCUGGCGGCGUGCCUAAUACAUGCAAGUAGAACGCAGUUGCGAACGGGUGAGUAACGCGUAGGUAACUGCCUCAUAGCGGGGGAUAACUAUUGGAAACGAUAGCUAAUACCGCAUCCUGUGAGAUGGACCUGCGUUGUAUUAGCUAGUUGGUGCGGUAAAGGCUCACCAAGGCGACGAUACAUAGCCGACCGGAGAGGGUGAUCAUCCUCUCUGGGACUGAGACACGGCCCAGACUCCUCCUCUCUCCCUCCCUAUCUCUUCUUCUUAAUUCUACAGAAGUCUGACCCUUCAACGCCGCGUGAGUGAAGAAUCUUUUCUAAUCCUCCAUCUAUGUUGUUAGAGAAGCGGUAACUAACCAGAAAGGGACGGCUAACUACGUGCCAGCAGCCGCGGUAAUAC
rnacentral:rRNA from 1 species